rnacentral:rRNA from 1 species
AUGUGCAGGGUUCAUGGCGCGACGGUGGAUGAGGGUGCUCGUGGCCACGUUAGUUUUUGCUGGAACCGGCGAACCAUUUUGCUACAACCGUUUUUGGUUUUUGUUACUACCAGUGUUUUGUGCAUUUGUGCUACAUCCAUCUCCAUGACAUCACUGUUUUUCCAGUCGAUUUUUUGCUACAACCAUGUUAUGAUUUUGUUGGAACCGAAGGAUUUUUGCUGGAACCGGCUCUGCGGUUGCUGCAACCGGCAAGACAACGUGCCCAUUGGAGCUGGAGCUAUAGCGCGCUCACCGGCGAUGUGGUUUUUGCUGGAAUCGGCUAGUUACUUUGCUACAAUCAGACUUUGGGGAUUUUUGCUGCUAUGUUUAUUUUUGCUAGAACUAGUGUCAAUUUUUGCUGGAACCGACUAUUCCUUUGCUACAAGCGGAUUUUUUCUGAUUUUUUGCUGCUAUGGUUGUUCUGCUGGAACCGGGCAGCGGGGAUGGUGA